rnacentral:rRNA from 1 species
CCGUGAGGGAAAGGUGAAAAGAACCCCGGGAGGGGAGUGAAAUAGAACCUGAAACCCUGCCCUUACAAGCUGUGGAAGCACAUUUCUUGUGUGACCGCGUACUUUUUGUAGACCGGGCCAACGAGUUACGUUAAGUAGCAAGGUUAAGCACUUAAGGUGCGGAGCCGUAGCGAAAGCGAGUUUUAACUGAGCGUUCAGUUACUUGACGUAGACCCGAAACC